UUUUAGGUGCGUUAAGGAUUGAAACGGCAUCCUUUUUAAUUGAUAAAUUAAAAAGAUAUAGCGGAAAGCCUACCCCGAA
rnacentral:sRNA from 1 species